rnacentral:lncRNA from 1 species
CGGCCAUGGGCUUCUGCUCUGAACGAGACAGCCAGGGUCCCAUCCCCUUAGAGGAGCCCCCAGUGCUCCCCUGAUGGAGGGACUGGAGAGGGUUGGAGUUCCUGGGAAGGCUUGCUGCUGGGUGGGAUUUGCAUUCAGCUGGCAUUUGUGUGAUGUGUACAUCUUUGUGCGUAUGACACUGUGUGUUUUACAAGCCCUUGCUCAUCCUCCAUUUGAAGACUUCAUUUAAUGAUUGUUUUAUAUUUCAUAUUUUUUGCUUUUCCUUCUCUUUUUUGUUGCUGGCUCUAGAAUCACUUUAAUCCCAUUGUGGCUUCCUGUGGCUUUCAGGAGCAUCUACUAACAGAGUUUUGUAGGAAACUGGCAGACGUUCUAAGUGGAGGGCCCAUGAGCUGUGCUGUGAGCAGAACAAGGGUCCAUUCUGCAAACGUGGAAGUCCUGUGGUUCCAGAACAUUCACCUGCAGAACAUUCACUCAGCAGGCUCCAGUCAAUGCUGGUCUCAGGUGCAGAGCCUGCUCCGGCCCCUGGAAAAUGGAGGAUCUCUACUACAAUCUACGUCAUAGGAUUACUGCAAUGAAAAAAUAGAGUGAAAUGAGCGAAAUGGAUAACAGAGUAUCAGGCACAGAUGGCCAUGAGGUACUGUAAGCCUCAUUGGUCACCAAGUAAUAAGAUAACAGAAACUCAGUACUGGUAGGCCCACACUAACUCUGAUGUUGAAAUCUCAUCCCCAAUGCAAUGACAUUAGGAUGCAGGCCCCUGGGAGGGGACUAACUCAUGGG